AGAUGGAUCCUGUUGGAGACGUGAAGACCAAACAGAAGACAGAAUCCACCAAAACCACAAAGACGGAUCCUGUUGGAACCAAAAAGCCCAAACAGAAGACCGAGCAGAAAGAACCUCUGAAUAUUUCUUCUCUAUCUCUGAAAUCAGCGGAAUCGCCUGAAACUUCCAAGGUUCAAAGUGAAGCCGUCCAGACCGGGAGGAUCAAAAUAAUGGGAAUCAAAUCGUCCAAUACGAGGAACACUCACCUGGAGGUGGAGUUCAACGGCGGGCCGCAGACGUUUUAUGUGACAAAUCGACUUCUUGCGGACGUGUUCGGCUUCAAAGCGGAGGACGACUUCACAGGAAGAUUCUCUCGUGAGACGCCGCUCACAGCAGACGCCCAAAUAAAAGGAAAUAAAAUUACAGAAAUUAAGAAGCUGUAGCAAAAAUGUACACAUAUUUGUGUACAGUGGAACGCCGUUGACGGGUGUGGUUGGUGUGUGUAGUUAGGGUGGUGGGGUCUUUAUGAGUUACAGGUACUUUUGAAUUUACAUUUAAGGAAGUACAGUCUUUUUAUUUCUUUCAUCGCUCCGUCUCCAAACUUAGCCUACCUUUGUUUUUAAUAUGAAUAAACAAUAACAAUUGUCUUGAUUGGGGAUGUUAAGUCACAUGACGUAGUUCCUUCACUCCUACGUCGGCACUCCAUGACUGAAUGACAUUUGAACGAUGCCUCCAGUCUGAAGGUUUUUAUGUUGUAAAUGUUUUGCCUUUUACUGUAUUUUCUGUUUGCUUUGCUGAUCUCAGGCGCUUCGAUCGUUAUCCGCUGACAUUCGCUCUAAAUCUGUAUGAAAAAUUUUAACGUUUACAAAACCAAGCCAGUCGCCGUGGUUACUUCCUGUCUGAACAGCUCAGUCGGAAGAUUUAUUUAGUCGGAGUGUUAAAUUAACACAUCAACCAACGACUUAACCGUUGACAUCCCAUGUGCACAGAUUGUAAAGCCCUCUGAGGCAAAUUUGUAAUUUGUGAUUCUGGGCUAUACAAAAUAAACUGAAUUGAAUUGAAUUGAAUCCCUCGUCCUUAAUGAUUUCAAGUGACUUUGAUCUAUUUUUAUAUACAUUGAAGAAAAUAUCAUGAAUGAAGCAGCCGGUUCAGUUUAAAGAGGUUCAGUGCUUCAGAGUUUAGUGAAGACAUUUAAAA